GUUUUUCAAGUUGAAUAUGCUAUGAAGGCUGUGGAAAAUAGUAGCUAUUGGAAUCAGAUGCAAAGAUGGUGUUGUCUUUGGGGUAGAAAAAUUAGUCCUUUCUAAACUUUAUGAAGAAGGUUCCAACAAAAGACUUUUUAAUGUUGAUCGGCAUGUUGGAAUGGCAGUAGCAGGUUUGUUGGCAGAUGCUCGUUCUUUAGCAGACAUAGCAAGAGAAGAAGCUUCCAACUUUAGAUCUAACUUUGGCUACAACAUUCCACUAAAAGUAAGUUGAUAACAUAUUGAGGAACCUUUUGGACAGUAAUAGAAGUUUAUUAAUAAGCUCUUCUGCUUCCCUCCAUAGCAUCUUGCAGACAGAGUGGCCAUGUAUGUGCAUGCAUAUACACUCUACAGUGCUGUUAGACCUUUUGGCUGCAGGUAAGAAAUUUUGUGAAUUAUUCAAAAGGCAGAUCUGUACUAUAGAUAUUUAUUAUGUUCCCCAGCAUCUUAGCCUUUUACAU
rnacentral:sRNA from 1 species